CUGGUUGAAUAUAUCAUUACGAACUCAUCAAAACACAUUUGUAAAGGAUUCGAUGAUAUAAUAGUUAGUUGAAAGAGUUAAAUUAGAGUUUGGUACUCAAAACUUAUGAGCUAGUCCUCUAGUCAGCUAUAUAUAGCUGCUGUAAACAAAUUGUAAAGUUAGUAUACAAAACCUUCAUUUCUUGGUUUUAGAAUUGUCCAUCUCUGCUACUUCUCCAAUGUAGGUAAUAUGGUAUCAAAGCCACUACAUGAUUCUGGUGGUUCAGUUUUUAUUAGAUUUCAUUGUUUUCUAGUUUUAUUUCUCUUCUGUUAAGUUCUUAGGUGCUUCUGUAAUCGUUCUGUAAUUACUGGGUAUGGAUUGUACGUAAAGAUUGUUGGUGAUAUAUGUGUCUUUGAAAUUGUGGUAUAAUCUGAAUGCGGUUGUCUAGUGGGUUCUGUUAAUUUCUUCAGUGCUUCCGCAAUCAUUAAAUAGAAGUGGGAAUUUUCGGUUCUUGAAUAUUUCGGUUCUUGAAUUCGGAAUUUUUCAGAUUUUCAUCGAGUUCUUCACCUCCUGACACUAGGAAAGAAAAUGGGUUUUCAAGCAAAUUCUUGGAUCCAGUGGAAUGCCUUCAUCUUGGAGGGGCUCGUGAUGGUGGUCUACGAUUUGGGUUUUGCUCAGGAAACAGGUUUUGCUCCGGACAUGGUGCGGUGUUGGGAAUAACAUCCGGUUUUCAAUUUAUGAUUUGUUUUCUGGUGUGGAAAAAAGUUUAGAACUUUAUGCAGUCCAACUGUUUGACGAAAUGCUCAGCUCAAGAUUUUUUGUGAAGGUUAUGUUUUCAUCAAAACAGUUGUAAAGGAUUAAAAUUCUGUUACUGGUCCAAGGUUGUGUCUUGUGUUGCUGAUUCAUGAAGGAUGAGAUUUGGCAUACCACAUGUUUGACUAAUUUCCCCAAACAAGAUAGUUCUCUGUUCUCUCUGGGUUCUACAUCUUUGAGGUUUGGUUGCUUAUUUUCUCUCUUGUUUUUCACUUCAUUGAAAUGGGUUUUUCUUGGCAAAUUGGUGACAUAUUUCUUGCUUAUGUCAUUUAGAGUUUGGCACAAAGUUGUUCUGUUUAAAGUUGGACAUGCACCAUUUUCAAACUAGUCGUGGAAUCAGAAAGAGUACAGUAAGGUCACGAAGCCAUUUUUGUGAUUAGGAGUUUUGGUAUAUAGUAUUGUUCUUCUUGAUCUUCAAUUUCUUGGGCAGGUGGUCGUUUUUCUGAUUAAUGUUGGAAAAUAGUUGAAAUUGGGACUAAGGCAUGAUGCCGAAUAGUUAAGUAGCAUUAAUUUACAUGGAAAAAUAGCUUUGACAUGGAAUGAACAGCAAUUACAGUUAAAGAAUGGAAUGCAUUGGCCUGCAGUGUUGUAAUCGUCAGGUCUCUAACUAAUAGCUUGUCCCCCAUUACAGUUAAAGUGGAUGUUGCAAAGUCUCAUUAGCAAUGUCAACCCUCAUUCUUGGCAAUUCUCUCUGCAUAUGGUGUUCCAGAUAUCAUUCUUUCUGGUUUCUGAUCAUGGUCAAACAAUAACUCGUUGGUUCAGACGCUUUCACUUUGUUGAGGAUCAAGUUAGUUCACUUUCUUCAUAUUGUGUUCCAGAGUUCCUUACCACAGCCUAUAAUAUCAAGUCUAACAAGCUUAGUUGCCGCAUGUAUCUACUGUAAGUCCGGUUUUAUGUUUCUUACAAAGAUUUAAGUUUGUAGAAGUUGUUGACGAUAAAUCCCACGAAGGGUGAUUCCGUGUUGUGAAUAGGUAAAAAUCCGCAAAGGCAUAUGGUUUCAGUCAAUAGCCUUCUUGCUUCUA